rnacentral:rRNA from 1 species
AGAGGUGGCAAGCGUUGUUCGGAAUUACUGGGCGUAAAGGGCGCGCAGGCGGUUCGUCAAGUCUCGUGUGAAAUCCCCCGGCUCAACUGGGGAACUGCGCGGGAAACUAGUGAACUUGAGUUCGGGAGAGGAAAGCGGAAUUCCGGGUGUAGCGGUGAAAUGCGCAGAUAUCCGGAGGAACACCAGUGGCGAAGGCGGCUUUCUGGACCGACACUGACGCUGAGGCGCGAAAGCUAGGGGAGCGAACGGGAUUAGAUACCCCGGGUAGUCCUAGCCCUAAACGAUGAGCACUGGGUGUAGGGGGUAUGAACCCCCCCCCCCCGUGUGCCGAAGCUAACGCAUUAAGUGCUCCGCCUGGGGAGUACGGUCGCAAGGCUG